rnacentral:SRP_RNA from 1 species
GCUGGGCAUGGUGGCGUAUGCCUGUAAUCCCAGCUACUUGGGAGGCUGAGGCAGAAGAAUUGCUUGAACCUGGGAAGCGGAGGUUGCAGUGAGCCGAGAUUGUGCCACUGCACUCCAGCCUGAGUAACAGAGCAAAACUCUGUCUCGA